rfam:Triticum aestivum genome assembly, contig: Triticum_aestivum_CS42_TGACv1_scaffold_095400_2AL
CACGUACCCCCUCCGUUCGGAAUUACUCGUCGAAGAAAUGAAUAUAUCUAGAUGUAUUUUAGUUAUAAAUACAUCUAUUUUUAUGACAAGUAAUUCUGAACGGAGGGAGUACUUA